rnacentral:rRNA from 1 species
UUGGAGGGCAAGUCUGGUGCCAGCAGCCGCGGUAAUUCCAGCUCCAAUAGCGUAUAUUAAAGUUGUUGCAGUUAAAAAGCUCGUAGUUGAAUUUCGGGAUUGACGUGAUGGUCAUGCCUUAAGGGGUAUGAACUGUUACAGUUGAUUUCUCACCUUCUGGAGAAACUUGAUGUCCUUUAUUGGGUGUCUUGCGGAUCCAGGACCUUUACCUUGAAAAAAUUAGAGUGUUUAAAGCAGGCAUUUUUGCUCGAAUACAUUAGCAUGGAAUAAUAGAAUAGGACGGCAUGGUUCUAUUUUGUUGGUUUCUAGGAUCACCGUAAUGAUUAAUAGGGAUAGUUGGGGGCAUUGGUAUUCAAUUGUCAGAGGUGAAAUUCUUGGAUUUAUUGAAGACUAACUACUGCGAAAGCAUUUGCCAAGGAUGUUUUCAUUAAUCAAGAACGAAAGUUAGGGGAUCGAAGACGAUCAGAUACCGUCGUAGUCUUAACCAUAAACUAUGCCGACUAGAAAUCAGACGAUGUUAAUUUUUUAAUGACUCGUUUGGCACCUUACGGGAAACCAAAGUGUUUGGGUUC